rnacentral:lncRNA from 1 species
GAUUUUAUUUUCAAAAACAGUCCGCAUCAUCACAAACAGAAGGUGGAAACAACCCAAAUGUCCAUCAACUGAGGAACAGAUGAACAAAAUGUGGUAUAUUCCUGCAAUGGAAUACUAUUCAGCCAUAAAAAGGAAUGAGGUUUGAUACACGCUGUGGCAUGGAUAAACCUGGAAAACAUUAUGGUAAGUGAAAGAAGUCAGACACAAAGGACCAUGUACUAUAUGAUUCCAUUCAUAUGAAUGAAACAUCCAGAACAGAGAAAUCUAUCAAGACAGGAAGUAGAAUAGUGGUCGCUUGGGGAGAGAGGGGGAAAUGGGGAGACGUUCAGGGAACAGAAAUAGCUCAAGGGUGCUGGUUUCUUUUUGAUAUGAUGAAAAUGCUCUAAAAUUGAUUGUCAUGAUGGUUGCACAUAUCUGUGAAUAUACUGAAAAACACUUAAAGUGGUUUUUUAAGCACUUUGAGUAAAUCUCAAUAAAGCUGUUUAAAAAAACCCAGCAGAGCAGAUUUCGCCCACCAGCCAACGUGGUCUAGGAUACUUUUCUUCAAAUUUGUUUCCUUUCACGUUCACAGCAAACCUGUGAGGCAGGUAUUUUUGACGAUCAGAAUGAUUGGGUUACUCGCCUGGGGUCACUCAGCAGACAAGUGGAGCAGCAGAGUGCCUGCUGGCUUCAGAGGGCGGGCGUGUAGACGCGGACAGGAAGUCUCACUGUGUUAUCCCCUGGAGCGCGUGUGGCCCAGAGCCCUGAGCCAGAUAAGGAUGCAACAAAUUGUUUAUUGAUUGGUUUGUUUUUAGAGAAAACAUAUAGUGUAAUAGUUAAGAAUACAGACUCUGGAGCGAGCCCGCCUGGACCCAAAUUCCAGCUCCUGACUCCUGCACGACCCUGAGUGAAUCACCCCCUCGCCGUGCCUCGAUUUUCUCAUCUGUAAAAUGAGAAUAUUAAGAGCUUCUAUCUCAUAGGAGGGUGGUGAGAAAUUAACGAAUUGUUCCUAUGAAACGCUUAGAACCGUGAAUUGGAUUUGCUGUUACUAAUUAUAAGCUCAGCUUCCCAUAGGUGUUGGUUCUCUCACAAGGAAAGGAAUCCGUAAUGGCAUGAAAAAUAGACCAGUGAGGAAAAUUUAGGGGCUGGGAGAGACAUUUGGCUCUAGUCAAACCACACCAUGAACGAGUCUGGCUGUUCAGCCAAACUGACGACGCCCACAAGCAUCUGGCUCUCCCAAGUGCACAGGACGUCUAGGGUAACAGGACCCCUGGGGGAACGGGCAGAGAGGCUACUGUGGUGACCUGGGCACUCGGGGCGCACGGAGCGGACCCCAGGCUCCGGGCUCUGGGUACCGCCCAGCCGCGGCUCGCAUCCUACUUAGCUUAUAAUAGCAGAUAUGAAAAUUUUAUCAGGUUUUCUGCUUUACUCCUGUGAAAUAUUAAACACUAAUAAAUUAUUAAGCGCAAUGUAAAAUACUACAAAUGUUCACAGAUUUCAUCAAGAGGUACUUCAGGAGCACGUCUGUUAGAGGGCUGUUUCAGGUAAAGCAAUCUGCUCCGAUAAAGGGUGGCUUUGUUCUCCUUCCAUCGUUUCUGUUCCUUAAUAGGGAAAUGUCUAUUCUGGGAUUCAGGUGCUGCCAAUAAGCACACGAGGCCGCAGGAGUUCUGGAUACGUGGCUGCUUUAUGCAUUCGGGCUUGACUGUGGGCGGGAGAAUGGAGCUGAAAGGGGGGGCCCAAAUUUUGGAGAAAUAUGAAACUUGUGCUGAGUGUCCCCAAAGUGACCUUUUCUCUUACCCUGUGAAGCGGAAAGCUCAUCGGGCCUGGGCUGCAGCCGCAAGGGUCUCUGAUGGCCCAGGAGUGCGUGUGUGGCGGACUGAUGGGAGCGUCUGAAUCAAGCCUGUUUUCCAAGAGGCAGGGGCUAUUCCUGAGAGAGAAGCCAAGCCGAACGUGAAGCCAGCCAGUCUGACAAGCUGCUGGGGUGGCCCAGGGGAGACGACUACCUUCUGGGAAGCUGAGGAGCUCCCAGAAAAGAGCUCACCCUAAGAAGAGCAGCUAAAGCCUGGCCUGUGGUUGGAGGAAGGCAUUCCGAGCCCAGCACUGUAGCUGCCUCUCUACACCUCCCACGGCCCAGCCUCCUGAACACUUAUCUGGGUCAGAAACAGACAGAUGGCUCCAAGAGAAACAAGAAAUAGAAGCUGCCACUGCACUGUGCGACACAUUAGCGCAAAGCAACUCUGCUCGGGGCCUCCGUUCCACGGUGUCCCGGAAGGGGGAAGGCACUUCCCCUGCUCUGUCACAGAUCGCCACACAGCUCAGCACACGGCUGCCAGCCAGCUGCAGAUUCUUCUUUGCACUGUCAACUCACCGGUCCUCCUCUGUUGUGCAGAAUCCCAGCAACAGGCUCAUAAUCCAGAGGAAAGCCAUCUGCGCGGGUUACACUGCAGGCAGCUGCCCAGGUCCUGUGGGAAUCCUUGUCCCCUACAGAAUAAACCUCGGGCGCUCCACGCUCUUCCAUGCACAGCAGCCUACAGGAUGGGUGUGAGGACGAGACGAGGUCGUCUCUGUGGAGUUUCCGACGUUGUCUGGCCAGCUGCGCUGCCGAUCAAACUAUCAGCAUUAGAACCUUUCCCUGUCUGCCUCCAGGGUGCCACCCCCGCUCGUCUCUCUGCUUGUGGCCUCCCCACUGAGGAAUCUUUCAGGAGUCUCGGACGUGAGCCCUGCUCCUCCCUCUGACCGACAGCUCAGUUCACAGAGCUUCCUGUGCCCAUGUGCCGCCAGCACUGUCCUGCCUGCUACACACACAUGCUCCGUCCCACCGGGGUCACCCCUGUUUCUGAAAUAAGCCCUCAGGCUCUGGCACCGAUGUCAUUAUCAACCAUAAUAAGCAGGAUGAGAAAACUGAGGUGCAGAGAAGAAAAAGAACAUGCCCAGUUCUUCACGGCUGGCAAAGGGAGAGCCAGGAUUCACCACCAGCUCUCCCGAGCCCCCGAGUCUAAAUUCCUUCUACUAAGUGGCCACGCUCAAACCCCAGAGGGAAGAGGAAACAGCACCCAGUCAAUCUCACUCCAGACUGAAGUAGGACUAAGCUGUCUUCCUGUCUCCUGUCGGCCUCAUCCACUCCCUGGGCGCUGGGAGAAACGCAACUCAAUUUCUCUCUCCACCUUUCUUCAACACCACUCCCACCACCGCUAUCCUCUGCCUACUUCUUCUAGCAGACUCCUGUUCAUCUUUCAACACCCAAAUUAAAUGUGAUCUCUUCUAAGAAAACUUUAUAGAUCCACCCACCCUCUGGGCUACAUUAGAUAGCCCUCCCCUAUAUUCCUAGUCCUUUUCUCUAUCCUCCCACUUUUGACUUGGUUUAUAAUUGACUUGUGUCCCUCUGCACAGGAUUCUCAGCUUCUUAAGGGCUGUGUCUUACACAUGAAAUCAUCAAAACAGAGCUUGUUUUUGUUGGCUUUUUUCCCAGUCUAAGGAGCCAAUCAGACAAAUGGAUCCCAAAUACAAAGGCAGGUGGGAGGGAAUACAAACUGAAGGGCCCCUGUAACUUGAAGGUGCCCUCACGCCCAGAUUUUGAGAAUAAAUAUAUCUUGGAUCGGGCAAUAUCAGGGACUUUAAAAGUAUAUAAAAUCUUGCAAAAUAUAUUCAACUCUUGUUUCAAGGCUUGUUUCCAUCAGCCUUAUGUUGUCUAAAUUAACAGCCGGCCCCUCCUCCCCGCAUGCCCACCAGCACCCAAGCUCCUCCCAGAUAAAGGCCUUGGCGUCAGAUUUGUUCCCUCCCAACCGAGAGCUUCUCUGUCUGAAGCCGCAGCUGUGAGAAUCACGGGCCUUUGUGACAACUCGAGCAUUUUGCCAUAUUUUUCCUUGAAAUAAAAGAGGAGAUAAUAGCACGCACAGCAGCGUUAAUACAACAUUAAGAUAAAAAAUAAAUUAUUCAUAAGCAUGAAAAUGACGUUAAGGUGCUGCUGGUGUUUUAAUCACAGAUAGCAAUACUCCUUUUUGCAACGACGGACGUUCUGUGCCGUGGUUGAAAACACCCUAUUACUUAGCAAGAGCAUGAACGCAGGGGCAGCCGCUGCAGGCUGUUCACCCACAUGCUCACACAGGUGAAAGAAGUCCCCAGUCUCUGGACCCACAAGCCACAGAGACAGGAUGUCCUCCAUCUGCAGCUGAUGCAGGAGAGGCCAACAUUUAGUGUUUUCUGCCUUGCUUGUGUAUUAGAAUCUCCUGGGAAGUUUUUUUUUUUUAAGCCACUGCCUAAUUCCCAGAGGUUCUGCUGUAAUUGGUAUCAUGUGUUGCCCAUCCCGCCGCUGCCCAUCCCCCCGCCAACCACCACCACCACCCCUGCCAUCCCUCUGGCUGGCCAUCCUCUCUACUACAUCACCCCCCCUGCUGCCACUGUGGUC